UACAGAGGUCCCGAGCGUUGUCCGGAUUUACUGGGCGUAAAGGGCGCGUAGGCGGUCACGCACGUCCGUUGUGAAAUCGCUCGGCUCAACUGGGCGGGGUCAGCGGAUACGGCGUGGCUGGAGCAAGCUAGGGGGCAAUGGAAUUCCCGGUGUAGUGGUGGAAUGCGUAGAUAUCGGGAGGAACACCAGUGGCGAAGGCGGUUGCCUGGAGCUUUGCUGACGCUGAUGCGCGAAAGCGUGGGGAGCGAUCCGG
rnacentral:rRNA from 1 species